rnacentral:rRNA from 1 species
AUUGAACGCUGGCGGCAUGCCUUACACAUGCAAGUCGAACGGCAGCACGGGUGCUUGCACCUGGUGGCGAGUGGCGAACGGGUGAGUAAUAUAUCGGAACAUACCCUAGAGUGGGGGAUGACGUAGCGAAAGUUACGCUAAUACCGCAUACGAACUAAGGUUGAAAGUGGGGGAUCGCAAGACCUCAUGCUCAUGGAGUGGCCGAUAUUUGAUUAGCUAGGUGGUGAGGUAAAGGCUCACCAAGGCGACGAUCAGUAGCUGGUUUGAGAGAACGACCAGCCACACUGGAACUGAGACACGGUCCAGACUCCUACGGGAGGCAGCAGUGGGGAAUUUUAGACAAUGGGGGCAACCCUGAUCCAGCAAUGCCGCGUGAGUGAAGAAGGCCCUCGGGUUGUAAAGCUCUUUUGUCAGGGAAGAAACGGUCUACUCUAAUACAGUGGGCUAAUGACGGUACCUGAAGAAUAAGCACCGGCUAACUACGUGCCAGCAGCCGCCGUAACAC